rnacentral:tRNA from 1 species
GCGGAAAUAGCUCAGUGGUAGAGCGCCACCUUGCCAAGGUGGAGGCCGCCGGUUCAAGCCCGGCUUUCCGCUCCA